rnacentral:rRNA from 1 species
GAUGAACGCUGGCGGCGUGCCUAAUACAUGCAAGUCGAGCGAAUGGAUUAAGAGCUUGCUCUUAUGAAGUUAGCGGCGGACGGGUGAGUAACACGUGGGUAACCUGCCCAUAAGACUGGGAUAACUACGGGAAACCGGGGCUAAUACCGGAUAACAUUUUGAACCGCAUGGUUCGAAAUUGAAAGGCGGCUUCGGCUGUCACUUAUGGAUGGACCCGCGUCGUAUUAGUUAGGUGGUGAGGUAACGGCUCACCAAGGCAACGAUGCGUAGCCGAGCUGAGAGGGUGAUCGGCCACACUGGGACUGAGACACGGCCCAGACUCCUACGUGAGGCAGCAGUAGGGAAUCUUCCGCAAUGGACGAAAGUCUGACGGAGCAACGCCGCGUGAGUGAUGAAGGCUUUCGGGUCGUAAAACUCUGUUGUUAGGGAAGAACAAGUGCUAGUUGAAUAAGCUGGCACCUUGACGGUACCUAACCAGAAAGCCACGGCUAACUACGUGCCAGCCGCCGCCGUAA